GAUGAAGAACGCAGCGAAAUGCGAUAAGUAAUGUGAAUUGCAGAAUUCAGUGAAUCAUCGAAUCUUUGAACGCACAUUGCGCCCGCCAGUAUUCUGGCGGGCAUGCCUGUUCGAGCGUCAUUUCAACCAUCAAGCCCCCGGCUUGUGUUGGGGACCUGCGGCUGCCGCAGGCCCUGAAAAGCAGUGGCGGGCUCGCUGUCACACCGAGCGUAGUAGCAUACAUCUCGCUCUGGGCGUGCUGCGGGUUCCGGCCGUUAAACCACCUUCAUAACCCAAGGUUGACCUCGGAUCAGGUAGGAAGACCCGUUGAACUUAAGCAUAUCAAUAAGCGGAGGA
rnacentral:misc_RNA from 1 species